GCCUCUCCAUUAAUAAUGAGAAGAGAAGGAGAGAAGGAGGGGAUUUGAUCAUCUGAACUGUGAAAAGACUUCAUCAUAUACUGAAUGGAAGAAGUCUUCAAAAUGUGCCGCCAUUGGACCUCCACCUCCCAAGGAUGCAGCCCCCGAAUCGGGACGCGGCUUCUACGUGCUUCACUAAAACAUGUUGCUUCAGCGUUUGGCUGAUUCUCACUCUGACUCACUCUGUGUUAUCUCAAAGAGGAAGG